CCUAACACAUGCAAGUCGAACGGUAACAGGAAACAGCUUGCUGUUUCGCUGACGAGUGGCGGACGGGUGAGUAAUGUCUGGGAAACUGCCUGAUGGAGGGGGAUAACUACUGGAAACGGUAGCUAAUACCGCAUAACGUCGCAAGACCAAAGAGGGGGACCUUCGGGCCUCUUGCCAUCAGAUGUGCCCAGAUGGGAUUAGCUAGUAGGUGGGGUAACGGCUCACCUAGGCGACGAUCCCUAGCUGGUCUGAGAGGAUGACCAGCCACACUGGAACUGAGACACGGUCCAGACUCCUACGGGAGGCAGCAGUGGGGAAUAUUGCACAAUGGGCGCAAGCCUGAUGCAGCCAUGCCGCGUGUAUGAAGAAGGCCUUCGGGUUGUAAAGACUUUCAGCGGGGAGGAAGGGAGUAAAGUUAAUACCUUUGCUCAUUGACGUUACCCGCAGAAGAAGCACCGGCUAACUCCGUGCCAGCAGCCGCGGUAAUACGGAGGGUGCAAGCGUUAAUCGGAAUUACUGGGCGUAAA
rnacentral:rRNA from 1 species